GACGAACGCUGGUGGCGUGCUUAACACAUGCAAGUCGAACGGAAAGGCCCUGCUUUUGUGGGGUGCUCGAGUGGCGAACGGGUGAGUAACACGUGAGUAACCUGCCCUUGACUUUGGGAUAACUUCAGGAAACUGGGGCUAAUACCGGAUAGGAGCUCCUGCUGCAUGGUGGGGGUUGGAAAGUUUCGGCGGUUGGGGAUGGACUCGCGGCUUAUCAGCUUGUUGGUGGGGUAGUGGCUUACCAAGGCUUUGACGGGUAGCCGGCCUGAGAGGGUGACCGGCCACAUAGGGACUGAGAUACGGCCCAGACGCCUACGGGAGGCAGCAGUGGGGAAUAUUGCACAAUGGGCGGAAGCCUGAUGCAGCGACGCCGCGUGCGGGAUGACGGCCUUCGGGUUGUAAACCGCUUUCGCCUGUGACGAAGCGUGAGUGACGGUAAUGGGUAAAGAAGCACCGGCUAACUACGUG
rnacentral:rRNA from 1 species